CCGCUCCAGCUCCACUUUAACACGGACCAUAUCGUACCUAAAAAGAUAAAAUUACACAGAAACGGCGAAAUGAAAUCAGAAGGAGCAGCUAAAUUCGGAUGCCUUGGUUACGUGAAAUUCAAACGGGCUGAAAGGAUAUCGAGGACAACACCUCCUUUAAGUGGCCCAACCAGCCCCUUGCGGUUACCGCUCCAAUUUGGCUGGGACAGAGAAAUUAAAAUGACGAGAAGAUUUUGACCGUUGAGCGGAUCCGAUUUCGACGAGGAGCAGUUAAGAAUGAACCCAACGAAGAAAUUGAAAUAAGUGGAUUCUACCAAGUGGAUGCAGUCCGUCCCAGAAGUGAUUUGCAGACAGAGAGAUUAUCAUAGAAUGUAACCAACGUCAUCAACCUCAUUGGUAUGCAUAUAAUUUGCGCCCAUGAAAAUAUCCUGGCAAUGGUCGUAACAUUUUCUAGGUUGAGCCGUGAUUCUCUUUGUGGCGUAUGGACCUGUUGAAGUAGAAGCCAUAACGUCGAGUUCUUUUAUCACCAGUACUUCAACGAUAACCGUGACAUCUACUGAAAAGAGCAUUUGUGGGAAAUUGAUCAACGUCACGGCCGCCUGUCGUCGACGCCGAAAUUUUGAAUUCGAAAGGCCCGAAAUUUUAACAUUCGAUGAAGGUAUCGACGAGGACAUCGAUCUGGCCUUCAGUAACUUUUACAAACAAUUUGUUCCCACCAAGACUUUGAGUAUGGAAGUGACGCCGUUGGUCGUGUUGCCUCCUCGCAUUUCAUCCGGACGUAAUCCAACGAUCGCCAGCCAUCAUUUCGGACUGCGGACGUCUUAUCCCAUGUACCCGAUGGGUAGUCGGAACAAGAGCCCCAAUAUCCACCCAAGUAUCUACCCCCACCAAGAUGAGGCGAAACUUCAGCAGCAACAACUUCUCAAUCAGCAGCGCAUAUUUUUCUCCGCUCUCUCCCUGGCCAACGUGUUCAGCAGGACCACCGUUACAUUCACUACAUUCAAAACGGAAACAAAGACGGAAGUGUCGACUUCCAAAGCCACUUUUUUCGUCGUCGGCUGCACACCGAAUCCCUUCCCCUUCAGCGUUUGCUCAGCUAAACGUUAAAUGUUUUCGAAUCUUGAUUGGCAAAUUAUUUGUUUUGGAACACUUGCAUGAUUAACAGACUUUAUUUAUCUUUAUUUAUCAAAGUUUUUUUUUAAUCAUUAUUAUUCUUCUUUAAUUAUUAUCCAGUUUUCAUUAUGGACUGCCUUUAAAUUAUUGUGCUAUUAUUCCAAAUCUGCCAAUUAUAUUAAAUCUAGAAACAAAA